AAACCAACAGGGAUUGCCUCAGUAGCGGCGAGUGAAGCGGCAAGAGCUCAGAUUUGAAAUCGUGCUUUGCGGCACGAGUUGUAGAUUGCAGGUUGGAGUCUGUGUGGAAGGCGGUGUCCAAGUCCCUUGGAACAGGGCGCCCAGGAGGGUGAGAGCCCCGUGGGAUGCCGGCGGAAGCAGUGAGGCCCUUCUGACGAGUCGAGUUGUUUGGGAAUGCAGCUCCAAGCGGGUGGUAAAUUCCAUCUAAGGCUAAAUACUGGCGAGAGACCGAUAGCGAACAAGUACUGUGAAGGAAAGAUGAAAAGCACUUUGAAAAGAGAGUGAAACAGCACGUGAAAUUGUUGAAAGGGAAGGGUAUUGCGCCCGACAUGGGGAUUGCGCACCGCUGCCUCUCGUGGGCGGCGCUCUGGGCUUUCCCUGGGCCAGCAUCGGUUCUUGCUGCAGGAGAAGGGGUUCUGGAACGUGGCUCUUCGGAGUGUUAUAGCCAGGGCCAGAUGCUGCGUGCGGGGACCGAGGACUGCGG
rnacentral:rRNA from 1 species